rnacentral:rRNA from 1 species
UACGGAGGGGGCUAGCGUUGUUCGGAAUUACUGGGCGUAAAGCGCACGUAGGCGGCUUUGUAAGUUAGAGGUGAAAGCCCAGGGCUUAACCCUGGAAUUGCCUUUAAGACUGCAUCGCUAGAAUCGUGGAGAGGUGAGUGGAAUCCCGAGUGUAGAGGUGAAAUUCGUAGGUAUUCGGAAGAACACCAGUGGCGAAGGCGACUCAAUGGACACGUAUUGACGCUGAGGUGCGAAAGCGUGGGGAGCAAACAGG